rnacentral:rRNA from 1 species
GUCGCACGAGAAAGGGCUUCGGCCCCGGUACAGUGGCGCACGGGUGAGUAACACGUGGGUAAUGUUCCCUCGGGCGGGGGAUAACCUUCCGAAAGGAGGGCUAAUACCGCAUAAGACCACGGCCUCGAAAGGGGCUGCGGUCAAAGCAGGCCUCUUCAUGAAAGCUUGCACCUGAGGAUCAGCCCGCGGCCCAUCAGCUAGUUGGCAGGGUAAUGGCCUACCAAGGCUAAGACGGGUAGCUGGUCUGAGAGGAUGAUCAGCCACACUGGAACUGAGACACGGUCCAGACUCCUACGGGAGGCAGCAGUGGGGAAUCUUGCGCAAUGGGCGAAAGCCUGACGCAGCGACGCCGCGUGGGUGAUGAAGGCCUUCGGGUUGUAAAGCCCUGUGGGGAGAGACGAAUAAGUCGGAGCCAAUACCUCCGGCGAUGACGGUAUCUCCUUAGCAAGCACCGGCUAACUCUGUGCCAGCAGCCGCGGUAAGACAGAGGGUGCAAACGUUGUUCGGAAUUACUGGGCGUAAAGCGUGUGUAGGCGGCCGUGCAAGUCGGAUGUGAAAUCCCCGGGCUCAACCCGGGAAGUGCACCCGAAACUGCAUGGCUUGAGUACCGGAGAGGUUGGUUGAAUUCUCGGUGUAGAGGUGAAAUUCGUAGAUAUCGAGAGGAACACCGGUGGCGAAGGCGGCCAACUGGACGAGUACUGACGCUGAGACACGAAAGCGUGGGGAGCAAACA